UUACUGGGUUUAAAGCGUCCGUAGCUUGACUGUUAGGUCUCUUGGGAAAUCUUCACGCUCAACGUGAAGGCGUCUAAGAGAUACCGGCAGUCUUGGAACUGGGAGAGGUAAACCGUACUUCGGGGGUAGGAGUGAAAUCUUGUAAUCCUCGAGGGACGACCUAUGGCGAAGGCAGUUUACCAGAACAGCUUCGACAGUGAGGGACGAAAGCUGGGGGAGCAAACGGGAUUAGAUACCCCGGUAGUCCCAGCCGUAAACAAUGUGCGUUAGGUGUGUCGGUAACCACGUGUUACUGAUGCGCCGAAGAGAAAUCGUGAAACGCACCACCUGGGAAGUACGGUCGCAAGGCUGAAACUUAAAGGAAUUGGCGGGGGAGCACCACAACAGGUGGAGCCUGCGGUUUAAUUGGAUUCAACGCCGGACAUCUCACCGGAUAAGACAGCUGAAUGAUUGUCAAUCUGAAGGUUUUACAUGACUAGCUGAGAGGAGGUGCAUGGCCGUCGUCAGUUCGUACUGUGAAGCAUCCUGUUAAGUCAGGCAACGAGCGAGACCCANCGCCGACAAUUGCCAGCAGCAUCUCCGGAUGGCUGGGGACAUUGUCGGGACCGCCUCUGCUAAAGAGGAGGAAGGAAUGGGCAACGGUAGGUCAGCAUGCCCCGAAUUAUCCGGGCUACACGCGGGCUACAAUGGACGGGACAAUGGGCAACAACACCGAAAGGUGCAGUCAAUCUCCUAACCCCGUCCUUAGUUAGGAUUGCGGGUUGCAACUCACCCGCAUGAAUCUGGAAUCUGUAGUAAUCGCGUUUCACUAUAGCGCGGUGAAUACGUCCCUGCUCCUUGCACACACCGCCCGUCAAACCAUCCUAGUGGGGUUUGGAUGAGUCCCUGGUCUUNNNNANNNGNGAAUCUAGGUUCCGUG
rnacentral:rRNA from 1 species